GCUGGCGGUAUGCUUAACACAUGCAAGUCGAACGAGGUGCUUAGGCAUCUAGUGGCGGACGGGUGAGUAACGCGUGAGAAUCUGGCUCCAGGUCGGGGAUAACAGUUGGAAACGACUGCUAAUACCGGAUGUGCCGAGAGGUGAAAGAUUUAUUGCCUGGAGAUGAGCUCGCGUCUGAUUAGCUAGUUGGUGGUGUAAGGGACCACCAAGGCGUCGAUCAGUAGCUGGUCUGAGAGGAUGAUCAGCCACACUGGGACUGAGACACGGCCCAGACUCCUACGGGAGGCAGCAGUGGGGAAUUUUCCGCAAUGGGCGAAAGCCUGACGGAGCAAUACCGCGUGAGGGAGGAAGGCUCUUGGGUCGUAAACCUCUUUUCUCAAGGAAGAAGAAAGUGACGGUACUUGAGGAAUAAGCAUCGGCUAACUCCGUGCCAGCAGCCGCGGUAAUACGGAGGAUGCAAGCGUUAUCCGGAAUGAUUGGGCGUAAAGGGUCUGCAGGUGGAACUGAAAGUCUGCUGUUAAAGAGUUUGGCUUAACCAAAUAAAAGCGGUGGAAACUACAGAACUAGAGUGCGGUAGGGGCAAAAGGAAUUCCUGGUGUAGCGGUGAAAUGCGUAGAUAUCAGGAAGAACACCGGUGGCGAAAGCGUUUUGCUAGACCGUAACUGACACUGAGGGACGAAAGCUAGGGGAGCGAAUGGGAUUAGAUACCCCAGUAGUCCUAGCCGUAAACGAUGGAUACUAGGCGUGGCUUGUAUCGACCCGAGCCGUGCCGGAGCUAACGCGUUAAGUAUCCCGCCUGGGGAGUACGCACGCAAGUGUGAAACUCAAAGGAAUUGACGGGGGCCCGCACAAGCGGUGGAGUAUGUGGUUUAAUUCGAUGCAACGCGAAGAACCUUACCAAGACUUGACAUCCUGCGAAUCCUGGUGAAAGCUGGGAGUGCCUUAGGGAGCGCAGAGACAGGUGGUGCAUGGCUGUCGUCAGCUCGUGUCGUGAGAUGUUGGGUUAAGUCCCGCAACGAGCGCAACCCUCGUUUUUAGUUGCCAGCAUUAAGUUGGGCACUCUAGAGAGACUGCCGGUGACAAACCGGAGGAAGGUGAGGAUGACGUCAAGUCAGCAUGCCCCUUACGUCUUGGGCUACACACGUACUACAAUGCUACGGACAGAGGGCAGCGAGCCAGGGAUGGCAAGCGAAUCCAGAAACCGUAGCUCAGUUCAGAUCGAAGGCUGCAACUCGCCUUCGUGAAGGAGGAAUCGCUAGUAAUUGCAGGUCAGCAUACUGCAGUGAAUUCGUUCCCGGGCCUUGUACACACCGCCCGUCACACCAUGGAAGUUGGUCACGCCCGAAGUCAUUACCCCAACCGAAAGGAGGGGGAUGCCUAAGGUAGGACUGGUGACUGGGGUGAAGUCGUAACAAGGUAGCCGUACCGGAAGGUGUGGCUGGAUCACCUCCUUUUAGGGAGACCUACCCAUUGAAGAAUCGAAAGCCGAAGGCGAAUAGAGAAUCAAAUGGUCUACUCUAGGUCGGUCGAGAAUUGGUCAAGUCUCUUUCAAAGUAUUAUAUUUCCGGUGAUUCCCAGCAACUAGGAAAGACCUAGACUGCUGGUGAGAACCAGCCAGAACCUUGAAAACUGCAUAUAGACAGAUAAGAGAGCUGAAAUCGAAAGAUAGAAGUAAGUGAAGAACCAAGUGGUCAAGCUAAUAAGGGCUCAUGGUGGAUACCU
rnacentral:rRNA from 1 species